UAUACGAUCGAAGACAUUCAGAAGGUCAAACGAUGAUGCAAAGCGAAUGAGAAAUGAAUCGAAGAGACGAAGUCGUAUUACGAAUAAAGUAUAGCCAGAGAUGGUCUAGAGACUAUGAUAUGCAUAGGUUGUGAGUUGGAAAGAUGAGAUUAAGCUGUGUGUGGAAGCGGAUUUAAGGCAAGUUUUCCUAAAUCUUUCCUCAUAUAUAUAUUGCAUGUUCUGAUUAUUCUGUCCAGAUUAUGGUAUUGCUUAUACUGAAACCCUUCUCAAAUAAACUCUUAUUUCUGAGAAUGAAACCCAUGAUUGUUUUCUACCUUUAAGUCUUUGAAAAGCCAAACACCUAAAUACUCUCAAUUUCUAUUACAAGUAUUCUGAUCCAUUCUUUCCAAUCCUCAAGAUUUUAAAAAUAUCAGCUUUACAAAUUAAUUCGAAGUUCAGACCGUCAUUGAAGCAUGGGUUGCUCAGUGAUAGUUAGAACCUAGAAUGAAUUGGGAUCUUCUUGAUUAUUCAACCCGCCAUUGUCAUGCUGGUUUAGCAGGCUAAAUUCAGUUGCUUAGCCGAUAAUGGAGGAUACUGAAUAGUUAGGAAUUUCCUGAACUAUGAUUUAUCAAAAGACAGACUGUGGUUUAUGAAAUGUUGAUCCUCAAAAGUUGAUUUGGAAUAUUUCUGUUGUUGAUAAUGAUUAUGAUUCUGUUCUGUUGAUUGAAUUGUCUAUUGAUUUAAAUUGUUAGAAUUGGAUUAGUUUUUAUAAAAUAUGUGGACCAGAUUCGUGGUCAGACCAGAUUCGUGGUCAAUUAUAGGCCAAUGUGUGCCUUGGAUCCAGUAUAGAGAACAGGGCUGUGUGCCAUGUUCGGGGUUAGUGCGUGACUGAUCAGCAGCCUAACCUUUGGUUUUUAAGUAAAAAUGUGAUGAAUCCAAUUCGACAAUUCUUCUGUAAGUUUGAAUUCUGAUUUCAAUUGCUGAUAAGAAUUGUGAAGUUUUCAAUUACAUAUCCUGAACCCUGAUAAGAUAAUUCAGGACUAUUGUUGCUUAUAUACGCUUGCUGAGCAUUGUUGCUCACCCUUGCUAUUCCUUUUUAACCAUUUCAGAAAAGCUUAAAGAUGAAUUGCUUGAUUGAGAUUGCGAGUAUGGCUAAGGCUAAGCGAGGAGUCAGAGUUAUAGAAUAUCCAGAGGACAAGUGGAAUGUCCAGGGAGAUUGUCAAGGUUGGUUCUAGAUAGAAUUGUAUUGAUGAGAUUCAGUUGUAAGUCAUAAUUGAAAUAGAUUGACAGUGAUUCUUCUUAUCGAAGAUGAUCUGAGGUUGUAAGACAUUGUUUAUUGAUAGUGGUUGAUUCUAAUUUCAAUACUGUAACCUGGAUGCGAUCCUGUUUUUAGGGGGUUAAAGUGUUUUCUUUUAAAUCUUUUACUAAAGUUUUCAGGUUUUAAAUCCUUUGAUUUUAUUACCUUUUUCAAAAAUACAGGUUUUCAAAAGUGUUUUAGAAUGAUUUUGUGUGGUGACGUCAGAAUCCAGACCCCCGGAUUCUCGGGCUGUCACAGUUGGUAUCAGAGCAACAGGUUAUAAGUUAUUGAAAUUAGAAUAUAGAUUGUGGUCAUAAGUUUUAUAGAGAAGAAGUUUUCAGUGACCUCAUAUAGAGGUAUUGUGAGACUGUUUGGGGAUAGUCUAGAGAGGUAAUCGGAAUAGAAUCUAGAUAGUUAAUUAAGUUGAGGGUAUAUGUUUAGAUAGAUCAUGGUUCAUAAGUCUAGAAACUUGGUUUCUAGUAUGGGGACUGAUUGAGAUAGUGAUUUGUGAUAAGGGUCAGAGUUAGACCUAGUCAAAAGAGUAUUAAUAGUGAGAUUGAGUUAAGAAUGAUAAAGAUGCAUGGUUUGAAAAUGGUUUAUUGUUUUAACUGAGAUGUGAAAGAAUGGGUGUAGAAUAUGAGAUAUGUUGGAUUGGAAAGAGAGUUUUGUAGACAGGUGAGAAAUGAAUGAUAGAAAGUAUGUGGAAUUGAGUCUAGUUAUCAGAAGUGAUAUUAUGAGUAGGAUAGGACGCUAGUCUUCAACGACGACGCUUCAAGCUAACCGGGAAUUCAUCUGAUUUCAAGAUGAGCCAGCUUCAUUGCGAAUGAUAAUGUCUACAAGGAAAUCUUACGAGGCUAUCACGAGUUAACAUGGAUCGAUUAUCGAGAACGCCGAGAAGAAGACAUACAUUGAACAACGAUUUAUUGGAGCAGAGCAAGAAUUUGAGAAGACCUUGGCAAUAUCUUUUUCCAACAAAAGCUUAUUUUAAUUCUUUUCAUCAUCAUUGAGCCCUUAUACCUUUCCUACAAAAGUUUUAAUAGAUGAGGUUUUCCAGUUCUCGAAUGACGAGAGAACAUUAGUAUUGAUUAUUGAAAUAAGUGGUAUUGAUUCUUGGUGUGUGAUAAAAGUUGUUGUGAGAAGACAAUGAUAUUUCUUGAUAUUCCUUGACAUUCCGUGAUAUUCUUUGAUAUACCUUGAUAUCUCUUGAUAUUCUUUGGUACUUUUUGAGAUUCCUUGAUAUUCCUUCCAUCUGAUUGGGAUGAACAACCCUAUUUAUAGGGGACACAAGGUAUACCUGUCUGUGUGAUAGGAAUUGGAUGGGACGCCAUCACUUGUGUGUGUUGUGAUUACAAGAAGGUUAACAACCUUUAGUAGUGUCUAAUAUGGGCACGCAACACUAAGUUCGUUUGGUCAUAUUGAUCUCUCAGUCACUUUCUUAUUUAAACAUGACCUAUUCUGAAAACCUUUUGCUCCAUUCUAAGUUCUUAAAGAUUGAAUCUAAGAACUGAGCUCUGAAAUAGUGAAAGUUUUAAUACUCUUAUUUGUUUCAAAGUCAAAGGUAUGCCAAGGUCGAACGAAGGUGGAAGGAUGAUAGUACGAAGGGUGUACAUUUUCGUUCUCUUCGCGGAUUCUGAGGACAGAAUCCUUAUAAGGAGGGUAGAUUGUAACAUCCCAGAUUUUCAGAAUUAGUUUAUUAAUAUAGAAAUAAUUUUUGAAUAUUACUAUUGGCUUUAAUUGAUUUCUUCUGAUAAGAUGAACGGUCUGUGUAAUAUGAGUAUAAUUGUGAUGUGAAUUAUAAGGUUUAAACCGACUAUGCAUUCUUCUCCUGUGAUUUCGUAUAUUUUUACGACCCGGAUUUUUCAAAAAUUGUGUAUCGUUAUGAAAGUUAUUUUCUUAGAAAGAAGGAAUAAAGUUUAAUAUUUUAUUCCAGUUUAAGGUAUUUUCAAAAUUUUAUUUUAUAUAAUUGAUUUUAAAGAUUUAAAGGAUGGCUAUCGUUACAUGGCUAAGUGUUGCAUGUGGAAUUGUGAGUUUAAUUAGUUAUGAUAAUUAAAUGUGAAUAUUGCAUGAAUUUGGUGUGAAUUGAUUUUCUGUAAUUGGUAAUUAUACGUGCCAGAACUGUGGGUUCAAUUAUUGAUAUUAUCAGAAUGAGUCAUAUGUUAUUUAAAUAUUUUCAAAUGAUUUAUAUACGGAUAUAUGAAUAUCCUUUCAAAACUCAUUUCAAAUAUUAUUUCUGAAAAUACAGAGAUUUGUUAUGCAAAAGUUAGAUGGUCGAUAUGUGAAGAUAUGUAUUACAUGAUUAAGUGUUACGUGUGUAAUGGUCGCGUAAUUAGUUAUGGUUAUUUUUGAAUAUUAUAUGAAUAUUUGGUAAAUUCUUUGAUAACUAGUUUUUUUAUUUUGAUUGCUUAUAUAUGUUGCAAUCACGAGUUUUCAAUUUUCAUAUUCUCAGAAUAGAAUAUGGAACAUUUGGGUAUUUCCCUAAUAAUUUAUGAGUAGUAUGUGAUAUUUAUAUGAAUAUUUGUGAGGUUUGUGUUAUCUGAGUUAUUGAAUUGACUGCUCAUAUGUGUUCGGAUUUGAGAUAUUUCAAUUUCUAUAUGAUCAGAAUAAAAUCUAGUUUAUUUAGAUAUGUUCAUAUCGAUUUUUGGAUUGCUAUGUGAUUUUAUAAUCGAUUUAUGGAUUUAAUUUCGUUUAAUUAUUAAUUAUAUUAAAAUAUUUAUUUAAUAUUUUAAACCCCGCGGGCGUUCGGGGAAAAAUUCGCCAUUAGGCUAUUUGGGACAUUCUGAGCAUUUCUCGUGUUUUAACUUUUUCAAUCCGGAGUACGGUUUACCCCGUAAAUGGUCCGGUACAAUUUUGUUAAUAUUUUUAAGGUUAAUGAUUAUCUGGUUGUAUAAAAAUACGUGAAGCAUAUUCCAGAGAAUAUUCCAAAGCAUAUUCAAGGAAUAUUCCAAAGCAUAUUCGAGGAAUAUUCUCUUAUCUUCUUCUAUAAAUAUCCUUUACCAGUUUAUUUCGCACGUACAAUCAUUUCGCCAGUUCUCUGCACGAAUACCGAGAGAAAACGAACGGGUGUUCUUCGUGUUCUUCAUAAUCAAACAAGGAUUUGAAGGCGUUAUUGGAAUCCGAUGGAGGCGUAUAAAUAGUCAAAACGAAGCUCUCGACGCGUAGAAUCUAUUGUAGUUAUCCAUACCAGUGCUGAAUCGACAGGUUUUUACUAAGUAAGCUUUUUAAUUUCGAAUUUAAAUGAUUUUAAAUAUGAAUUUUUGCAAACGUGCUUGUUUGAUUGAUUUGAUGCUUCCAUGUUGUAGAGCGUCUCCUGCCAUUCGUUUUCAUAUAUUAUAUGCCGAUUUUUGACUUCCGUAACAUAUAGAAAAGUUAGUUUGAUUCUUGAAGUUGUGUUCUUGGAGGUUAUGAAUGUUCUUAAUUGGAAAAGAGGCGUUUUUAAUCUGGGGAUUCUGCGUUGUAUUGGUUUAUACCAUUAGGAAGAGCGUGUCAAGAGGAAUAUGUUCAUAUAAUCGGAUUUUGUGGAGGAUUCACGGUUGAGCUUAUUGGAGUUUAAGAACACCGGCGGUGUUCUUGGACUUUCCGGCCAAAAUCCGGCCAAACUACAUGCUAUUUACUGAUUCUGAUUAUGGGUAUGGGUUCCUGGUAGUAUGAACUUUAAAUCUGGAGUUUAUGGGGUGUGUAGGACGUCGGAAAAUCGAUUUCCGGCGAGGUAGUAUGGUGGCCGACGGAUAAUUUCCGUUUGGUCACCAACGUUAUGAAGAUGAUGAAGGUUUGACACUGGAGUUUGAUUGUUGACAUUCUAGCUCUCGAACUUUUGAAAGUUUACACCUGGCACCCUGCCAGACAAUUUCAGUAUUUUUACAAUUUAAACCUUUUCAAAUUUAUUUCAAAAAUUCAUUUUAGUGAUUUAUUUUAAUUUCAAAAAUAGUUUCUAAUUACUUCUUUAUUCAAAAAUAAAUCUGAAAUUAGUUUAUUAAUUAAAUUUAAUUAGUAAUUAAUUAUUUUAAUUGGUCAAUUAAUUUUAAUAUUAAUUGAUGGAUUAUUUUAAUUAAUUAUUAAUUGAUUUUAAUUGAUUAAUUAAUUAGAUUUAAUGAUUUCUUUUGAUUUAAAAAUUUCGAGAAAUAGUUUCGAGCUUUGGAUUAUUUUUCUAAAAUAUGUUUGAGGCUCGUUAAAUGAUUUCAAAUGAUUUCGGAUCCGAUCUUGAGCAAUCGGAUUUGAUUAUUUAUUCAAAAAUGGAUUCUUUUACCUGUUUUAAUUCCGAAAAAUGUUUAGAAAUUCCAGAAAAUUCGCGAAAAAUCAUUUUUAACUUGAGACUUGAUUGGAUAUCGAUUGGGACGGGAAACCUUAUGUGCAAUGUGUUGUCUGCUGUCUGUGUGAUAUGUUAUGUGCCGAUAGGAGAGUUAGAAAACGGUUUUGAUCAUAUCUUUUGAUCCGUAAUUCAGAAUCAGGUGAAACGAAAGGGAGAUGAAAGCUUAUGGAAUCUAUUUUAAUAUGACAAGAUAAUAUGAUCGAGUCUAGAAUGUGAUUAUAUGUCAUGUAAUAUGCAAUAUGUGUCAAUAUGUGACUUGUCUGCUAUGAAUUGAUGAUUACGUGAUAUACGUGGCUAUUCCUAAUAUUAUACAUAUGUGAUAAAUGACUUAUAUGACAUAGUGUCAUGAAUUGAUUGAUAUUGGAUAAGAAUAUAUGGAUAGUGAUUGAAUUGUGUUGGUUGAUGGUUGAUUGAGAUAGGAUAACAGGUGGAUAGUCUUAUACAUAGACGAGACGAUGUCGGAUUUUCGAUAAAGAUUUAUAUGAUAAUUGAUUUGUGAUAUGUUAUGUGGAAUAUGAUUGACUAUAUGUUAGAGUCAAAGCAUGAUUAUGUGAUAAGUGAUAUCUAAUAGGUUUAAAGGGUUAUAUAAGGGGGUAUCGAUAUACGUGAUGUGUAUGUACAAUAGAUUGUUUAGUGAUUAUAGUAUUGUCUUAUUCUCGUUAAGGAUUUGGACGAGACGUAUACGAUCGAAGACAUUCAGAAGGUCAAACGAUGAUGCAAAGCGAAUGAGAAAUGAAUCGAAGAGACGAAGUCGUAUUACGAAUAAAGUAUAGCCAGAGAUGGUCUAGAGACUAUGAUAUGCAUAGGUUGUGAGUUGGAAAGAUGAGAUUAAGCUGUGUGUGGAAGCGGAUUUAAGGCAAGUUUUCCUAAAUCUUUCCUCAUAUAUAUAUUGCAUGUUCUGAUUAUUCUGUCCAGAUUAUGGUAUUGCUUAUACUGAAACCCUUCUCAAAUAAACUUUUAUUUCUGAGAAUGAAACCCAUGAUUGUUUUCUACCUUUAAGUCUUUGAAAAGCCAAACACCCAAAUACUCUCAAUUUCUAUUACAAGUAUUCUGAUCCAUUCUUUCCAAUCCUCGAGAUUUUAAAAAUAUCAGCUUUACAAAUUAAUUCGAAGUUCAGACCGUCAUUGAAGCAUGGGUUGCUCAGUGAUAGUUAGAACCUAGAAUGAGUUGGGAUCUUCUUGAUUAUUCAACCCGCCAUUGUCAUGCUGGUUUAGCAGGCUAAAUUCAGUUGCUUAGCCGAUAAUGGAGGAUACUGAAUAGUUAGGAAUUUCCUGAACUAUGAUUUAUCAAAAGACAGACUGUGGUUUAUGAAAUGUUGAUCCUCAAAAGUUGAUUUGGAAUAUUUCUGUUGUUGAUAAUGAUUAUGAUUCUGUUCUGUUGAUUGAAUUGUCUAUUGAUUUAAAUUGUUAGAAUUGGAUUAGUUUUUAUAAAAUAUGUGGACCAGAUUCGUGGUCAGACCAGAUUCGUGGUCAAUUAUAGGCCAAUGUGUGCCUUGGAUCCAGUAUAGAGAACAGGGCUGUGUGCCAUGUUCGGGGUUAGUGCGUGACUGAUCAGCAGCCUAACCUUUGGUUUUUAAGUAAAAAUGUGAUGAAUCCAAUUCGACAAUUCUUCUGUAAGUUUGAAUUCUGAUUUCAAUUGCUG
rnacentral:lncRNA from 1 species